UCGCCUGUUUUAUCAAAAACAUCGCCUCCUGCAAACUUCUAAGUAUAGGAGGUCCAGCCUGCCCAGUGACUAUAAGUUCAACGGCCGCGGUAUUUUGACCGUGCAAAGGUAGCGCAAUCACUUGUCUUUUAAAUGAAGACCUGUAUGAAUGGCUAAACGAGGGCUUAACUGUCUCCCCUUUCAAGUCAGUGAAAUUGAUCUGCCCGUGCAGAAGCGGACAUAAAAAUACAAGACGAGAAGACCCUUUGGAGCUUUAGGUACAAGUCCAACCACGUUAAACAGCUUUCAAAGAGCCUUAAACCUAGUGGACAAUGAGACUUUACCUUCGGUUGGGGCGACCACGGAGAAAAAAUUAUCCUCCGAGUGGACUGGGAUAGUCUAACCUAAAACCAAGAAAGAUAUUUCUAGGUCACAGAAAAUCUGACCAAACAUGAUCCGGCUUAAUUCAAGCCGAUCAACGGACCAAGUUACCCUAGGGAUAACAGCGCAAUCCCCUCCCAGAGUCCAUAUCGACGAGGGGGUUUACGACCUCGAUGUUGGAUCAGGACAUCCUAAUGGUGCAGCCGCUAUUAAGGGUUCGUUUGUUCAACGAUUAAAGUCCUACGUGAUCUGAGUUCAGACCAGA
rnacentral:rRNA from 1 species